rnacentral:sRNA from 1 species
CAGCAGAGACCGGCAGCGGCGGGCGGCCAGCGUGGGUUACUGCUGGGGGCUGCGUUCAGGGGAGAAGGGGAGAUUCUGUCUCAGAAGCCUCGGGCUGCACGUUUUUGUGGGCCGCGCAUUUGCAGCCCAGAGCAGGCCCCAGCCGGCCCCUCUGGAGUUGGGCCACUGCUUCUGCAGGCCCAGCAGGCCCCUGGGGGUGGCCGGAGGCCACUAACUGGCUUCUCCAGCUCAGCAUUCUUCUCUCAUUUGCUGUGUACCCCACUCUCUUCUCUACCCCUUUGAACCAUCUUUACCCUCAUUCCUCAGGGAACGUUUAACGAGUUGAAUGUUUACCAUGUAGUCACUCUAUAUGGAAAUCAUAAUUCAAUUUUGUAAACAUCAGACUUUGACAAAACAAAUGAUGAUUUUCUUAAGGAAAGCAGAGAGACAGAGUGUGAAAUCGCUGCUCUCAGAUCAGCACACGGGAGAGGCCAGCAGUCAGGAGGGGGCUCACCGAGUUUGUCUGCACUCGCUCCCUCCGCAGCCGCCCUCUCCAGCUGGAAGAAGUCGUAAUCGAACCUGCUCAGGUCCUCACUGCCCCACUCCGAAGGAAACCCCACGUACAGGUGAGGUCAGAGGAGUGAAGUGACUUGCCCAAGACCACACAGCGAGUCAGGAGCAGGCCUGUCCCUCCAGCAGUGGUGCCAUGUUGUCCCCAAGCCAUGGUGGCAGAGGAGCUGGUGUGAAUGCCCCAUCCUGCCACGUCUGUGAUGUGGGCACCUCACAUGACUGUCCCCUCCCAGCUUUUGGGGGGGACCUAGGACAUUCUGUGAGCCUGCAGGAAAGUUUACCAAAUGCUGCAGCUUUGUCCUGGUGGUGAUGGGCACCCCAUUAACGGCAACCUUGCAUUUGCUGUGUGGAGUGACCAUCACUUUACCGUCGGCAUUUGUGAAGGAAGCGUGUUUAUCUGAAAUUCUAAGAAGACGAGAGUCAGUCUAAGACACCCAGCAAACGGCGGUUUCCGUGAGCAGGUACGCUGACCUUUCUCAUGUGCACGGGAGGGAAGGUCUACAGCUGCGGAGGAUGGCAGGUGGCAUCUCGGGGCCUCCUGUGUGCUGUGGCCCAUGAUGCAUGGGGACAGCAGCGGGCGCAGAAGGACCCUGCCCUUGGGGAGCACGGGGAGCUGGGAGACAGCAGGUAAGGGCUUCAUAACAGAACGAACACCAGCUGAGGGCCUAGCGCUGCGGGGAGCCGGCCAAGGCCACACUGGAGUCCUCCCGCUCCCAGGCCAGCGGGAUGGGGUGGUGGGAAAAUGGCAGCAAGCAAGCUUCAGAAGAGACACUCAGGAGGCGACUCUUAACGAGCCUCACCUACUCCGGGUACGUUUUGAUCUGUUUCUGCGCCCUCGCCGUAUAAAUUCAGACCUUAUAGGAUUUGGGGCUGGACAUCAGGGGUGUCAGGUUGGUGUCCCCCCUCCCCGCCCUGCUCCCCUGCACCGGAUGUCAUCUGUGUGUCCUGAAUGACUGGCUCCCUGCCUUAGCAUGUUCCAUGUUCCUGCACUCCUUGGCCAUCAUGGAAUGUUCUGGAUGUGGAGACCCGUGUGCAUCCAAACCCUUUUUUGCAUGGGGCCCAGGGAUCCUGUGGGAAAGGUUGCGGCCUCAUCACUGGAGUUCAGACAUUUACGCACCUGUGUGUUGGACUAAGGACGUGUUCUGGAAAGGGACUUGAGGGGGAUCCCCAGGAAGAUGUCCCAAGAAGGAGGCUGGCAGUGCAGGACGAGGCGGGGCCAGCCAGCCCCUGGGUCAGCACCCCUCCAGCCACGACGGCCCGUGGGCUUUCGUACGGGGAUGGGGGUGAUCUGUCUGAAGGACGCAGGUGAUGGUGCUUCCCAGCUGGAGACACUCCAGCAGCAGCCUCCCAGGCAGGGCAGCCACAGAGCUGGGGACAGCUCUUGACUGGGUGAGGCCCGGCAUGGGGUUUCCCAGGGCUCCUGCAGGGGCCUCCUGAGGGAGCCCCAGGGGUCACUCCACAGUCUGGGCUUUCUGUAGUCUGGUGGGUCAGGGCUCCAAGCACUAGGAGAGAUCCAGGGAUGCGCUUAUGUUUGGGCCACCCCCGGUGGGCUUGUUCGUUCAGCCCCCUUCGUUUCCUGGCCUGCUCUACUUACAUCUGUUUGUGAAGAAUUAUUACACAGAAUCUAGAAACCAGCUUUCCCUUUUCUCCCAGGGUUGGAGCCCAGGAAGCAAACCAGCACUGCACCCUAGAUUUCAGCCAGAGGACGAAAGCCCUGCCCUCAGCUUUCUCAGACCAGCCCUGGAGUAGGUGGCCCGGGGAGACCUGGGCAGUGUCCCUGCUUGUCCUGCAGACUGUGUGGCUCUGCAGACCUCUAGAUGGAGGAGGCACAAUUCUCUAAUGCUAGACGAGGACACUGAUCAUGGAAACUCACCCCAAACCUUGAAUCGUGAUAGCAUUUGAGGCAGCCCGACCAGCGUCACAUGAACCUGAAAAGAAUCAAGAUAUAAUUUAUUUUGAAAAUAAAUCAGACACUUUCAGAA